UAGGGAAUCUUCGGCAAUGGGGGCAACCCUGACCGAGCAACGCCGCGUGAGUGAAGAAGGUUUUCGGAUCGUAAAGCUCUGUUGUAAGUCAAGAACGAGUGUGAGAGUGGAAAGUUCACACUGUGACGGUAGCUUACCAGAAAGGGACGGCUAACUACGUGCCAGCAGCCGCGGUAAUACGUAGGUCCCGAGCGUUGUCCGGAUUUAUUGGGCGUAAAGCGAGCGCAGGCGGUUAGAUAAGUCUGAAGUUAAAGGCUGUGGCUUAACCAUAGUAGGCUUUGGAAACUGUUUAACUUGAGUGCAAGAGGGGAGAGUGGAAUUCCAUGUGCAGCGGUGAAAUGCGUAGAUAUAUGGAGGAACACCGGUGGCGAAAGCGGCUCUCUGGCUUGUAACUGACGCUGAGGCUCGAAAGCGUGGGGAGCAAACAGGAUUAGAUACCCUGGUAGUCCACGCCGUAACGAUGAGUGCUAGGUGUUAGACCCUUUCCGGGGUUUAGUGCCGCAGCUAACGCAUUAAGCACUCCGCCUGGGGAGUACGACCGCAAGGUU
rnacentral:rRNA from 1 species